GACGAACCCUAGCCCCCCACUUCCCCCUUUCCCUCGAUCUCUCUCUUCUCCUCGCGUGAAACCGAUGCUGCCGUCGCCAUGGCCGCGACCACCGUGCUCCCCGCGCCGCGAGAAGACGCCCAGAAGGACUGCCAUGGUCCACUUCGUCCAUCACGAGGACCGAAUCGAGCGGGGAAGGCCCGUACACUCGCCAUCGCCACCAUCUUCAUCUUGUACAUCGCCGCGGCCUCGACGUCGAUCCGCAUCACCUCGUCCAUCCCGGCCUCGUACGAGCUCACCACCGACCUCCUCUCGGUGAGCAGCGCCAAUCCCCCGCCUUUCCCCAUAGUUUCCGUCGACGUAGGCCACCGCCCGACCUUCCCUGCCCGGAGUUGCGCUACUCGCACUCCCUGGCCGCGCUCACCGGCCUCUGGCCACGACCAACUGCGCCCCAGCGCGCCCGCCCGGGCCGCGCCUUGCCUCGCCCCGACCGCACUCCCGGGUGCCCCACGCCCUUGUGCGCGCGUCCGCCACGCCCGGCGUUGGCCGUCGCUCACCUUGACCGCGUCCAAGGUGCUCCCCCGCAGCCGCCCGCGACCCUCCUGCUCUGCUUAUCGCCGUUGCUGUCGCACUGCUACUGCUUGCGUGUGCUGCUGCUUCCUGCCGUUGCCGUUGCGCUGCUGUCGUUCCUCCUUCCUGCUACUCCCGUGCGCUACUGCUGUCGCCCGCUGCCUGUACCUGCUGCUCUGCUUGCCUCGUCGGUGCGGCUGCUUUGCUGCAACCCCUGCUAGGUGCCGCCUCUGCUGCUGAUGUAUACGGCCGCUAGUAUCGCUGCUCUACUGCUGUUGUAGCUGCUGGCUGUGGUGCCCCAGUGGCCGGCUUGGCCAAGCACACCAUGCGUGCAUGCCCAAGCACACUAGUGGCCGGCUUGUGCCAUGGCCGAUGGGGAUAGCCCCUGUUUAGACGGACCAGUAGAUGAUAAUUAGUGGUUACAUUAGCCUAUGUGUAGAUGACAUGUGGAUCCCCUUGCUAAAUAAAUCUGUUUAGCACUUUAGUUAAAACAACAGUCAAUGACAAGUAGGCCCCAUGGCCACUAUUCACACUUUGACCAGGUCAAACUUUGACUGUUGACUUGCUGACUGUGUAUGCUUACUCAGCCCAUGGACCCACCUUUCAUUCUAAUGGGCUAGCUGCCUGGGUGUAUAAAAACUAAUACACUGUUUAAAUUCGAAUUUAGGUAUAUUCCAGAAUUCCAGAAAUUGUUUAAAUCUUUGAAAAUUAAUAUCAAAUAAUCCGUAACUCGGAUGAAAAUAUUUUCUACAUGAAAGUUGCUCAGAAAAACAUGACGAAUCCGAACACGUGGUCCGUUUACCUGUCAGAUGCCUCUAACUAUCUGAACAUGGAACUUUCCCCCGCUGGUCAUCUGUCUGACACAGGUCCGGAACCGGGAAAACAUUCCCGGUUGACUUCCCCCUUCGCCGGUAUCGUGUAGCACCGCGUUAGAACACGUCUAGCUCUGCCUGUUAUCCUGUUAUGCACUUGCUUGCUAUGUAUUUACUGUUUCUCCCCCCUCUUCUCUUCGAUAGACCCCGUGACGAUGCUGAUGCCCCUGUGAUCGACUACGUCACCGACGACCCCUCCUUCUCGCCUGAGCAACCAGGCAAGCCCCCCCUUUGAUCAUCCCGGUAUCGCCCAUUCCUUUCUCUCAUGCUUGCAUUAGAUUUUGCUACUAUUAUUGUAUGCUCCUAUUCUGAUGCAUAGCCUACUUUUGUAUCUGCUGUUGUAUCUUACCUGCUUAUCCUAAACUGCUUAGUAUAGGUUGGUUAGUGAUCCAUCAGUGACCCCCACCUUGUCCUUGUUGCCCCUGCUUCAUCAUUGAAGACCCGAUCAACGGGAUUGAAGACCAGGCCCCGGCACCGCACAUCACCUUCCCCUUAGUUGCUCGACACUGCUGGGUUACUAUCGAGUGCCGAGGGUGAGACCUCUACAGCACUUCUGAUGUUAACCCUGUAGUGUAGCUAUUCGGUCGUGGUCAUCGAGGGUGAUUCCACCUUAACCACUUCCGAUAUGACUCUGUCGUGCAACCCCUCAAGUGUGAACCUCGGGGGUGAUUCCUCUUACGUUCACCUUGGUGAUUACAUUGAGUGGAAUUCACCGAGGGUGAUUCCUCGGGUUUUCCCCUUGAUGUUUAAACACACAGUUACUAUGGUUACUAUGACUUUACACUGAGCCACGUUACUAAAGACGGGUCGACCCUGAGGGGUGCCCGCGCGAGCAUAAUUGCGAGUGAUGUGGAGUCGGGUUGACCUGGAAGGUGCCCGAGAGAUAAUUAUGAGGCGUGGCUGGGCAUUCUUAGCCCUUGCCGCAAGUCCUCGAGACGGGGCAACGGGGUCACAUCUUUCGUGAGUCUUUGCUUGUUACCGCGCGUUCCUAAUCCACUACGAUUUGGAUAUUUGAUCCGAGGGGCCUCUGGCCUGAUAGCACUAACCAUCACGUGGGCAUAGUAUGGGCGUUCUGCGUCGUAUGCAUCAGCCGAAGCUUAAUAGACGUCAGCGACUGAGCGGCGCGCGCCGGGUUGGACUGGUAAGCACCUACCUUUUUAAGGAGGUAGCUAGGUCUGCUCACCGGCCGCGUUCGCAACGUGCAGGAGUUUCCGGGGAGAUGGCCCAUGACCCCUGGGGGCAUAGGUUUAGUCCGGCGUGCUGGCCUCUCUAUUAAGCCUAGGUCGGGUUGCGGCGUAUUGUUUGGCCGAGGCCGGGCAUAACCCUGGAAAGUGUGUCCGGCCGGAGUUAAGCGAGCGUGGUGGGUAAGUUGGUGCACUCCUGCAGGGAAGAAAACAUCUAUCGAUAGCCUGUCCUACGGUAACGGACACUUGGAGUUGUAUCCCGAUCGAUAUAACUAGAACUGGAUACUUGUGAUGAGAAAUGGAUGGUGAUGAGAAUUGGAUUGUGAUGAUAAUUGGAUAGUACGGCUCUGGGAUUUCUUUCUCGCAGGGAGUCGAGAAAGGAUCUCUGGCCGAGGUUGAUAACGCUACUACUACUUUACUUUAUGCUACUCUACUCCCUCCUGUUUGCUGCAAGAGGGUGGUUUCCAGAAGAUGCUAGUCUUCGAUAGGACUAGGCCUCCUCUCUAUUCUGGCAUUUCUGCAGCCCAGUCCACAUAUACAGCCUUCCUUUGAUAAUGUUGCAUCUGUAGUGUAGAUCCUUGCUUGCGAGUACUUUGGAUGAGUACUCACGGUUGCUUUGCUCCCUCUUUUCCCCUUUUCCAUUCUUCUCGGAUGAUGCAACCAGAUGACGGAGUCCAGGAGCCAGAUGACACCUUUGACGACUGCUACUACACCAAGGGCGUCUGCUACCACGUGACGGAGACCGCCGAUGACCAGGUGUAGUUAGGAGGCUCCCAGGCAGGAGGCCUUGCCUUUUCGAUCAUAGAUGCUUUUGUGCUAGCCUUCUUAAGGCAAACUUGUUUAACUUAUGUCUGUACUCAGAUAUUGUUGCUUCCGCUGACUCGUUUGUAUUCAAGCUGAUGUAUUCGAGCCCUCGAGGCCCCUGGCUUGUAAUAUAAAGCUUGUAUUAUUUUAAUUUGUGUCUAGAGUUGUGUUGUGAUAUCUUCCCGUGAGUCCUUGAUCUUGAUCGUACACAUUUGCGUGUAUGAUUAGUGUACGAUUGAAUCGAGGGCGUCACAUCGUAGAAGUGUUCCAUGACAUUACCAAAAUUAUCAUCACGGAAGUGUCCACUUCCAUGACAAUAAAUUGCGCGUCAAAGAAGUUCUUUCGUCAAGGGUGACCGACACGUGGCAUCCACCAUAAUGGAACGUCGUUAAGCUAUCGGGUCAGGUUUUGGAUCCGAUAACCCGUUAACAGCCCCGACCAAUGGGGAUUUUCCACGUGUAAAAUCAUCAUUGGCUGGAGGAGACACGUGUCAACUCAUCCAAUGGGCGAGACGCGCCUAUGAUAUGUUGACACGUGGACCGGCCCAUCAAGUUUAAAUGGGCCGGCCCAACUGAAGGCCCACAAGAUUUUGCGGACCAUAAUGGGCUGGCCCAGCUAAAGGCCCACGAGAUUUUGCGGACCAUAAUGGGCUGGCCUAGCUAAAGGUCCACAAGAUUUUGCGGGCCAUAAAGGGCCGGCCCAGGUAAAGGCCCACAAGAUUUUUUUUGUGCCAUAAUGGGCCGACCCAGGUAAAUCCCACAAGAUUCUUGCGGGUCAUAAUGGGUCGGCACAGCUAAAGGCCCACGAGAUUUCACCGACAUUAACGGGCCGGCCCAGCUGUAGGCCCACAAGAUUUUGUGGACCCAUUAACUACCUGCCAUGUUUUGGGCCAAAUGCCGGCCCAUAUUUGAUCCGGUCCAUUAAUGGCCUGCCACGCUCCGGGCCUAAUAGUGGCCCAUAUGAGAUCCGGCCCGUUAAAGGCCUACCACGUUUUGGGCCAAGUUACAGCCCAGAUCAGGUCCGGCCCUUUAAGAGGCUUUGGGCUCAAUUAUGGCCCGUAUCAGAUUCGGCCCGUCAACUGGACACUAUGCUUUUGGGCCCACUUGCUAAAGGCCCACUUAAUAAUUCGCCCUGAUAUUAGUUUUGGCCUGUUAAGGGCUCAUUUAACAUUUCGAUCCUAUAUUAAUUUCAACCUGUUAAAAGCCCGUCAUAUAGUUGGGCCUAACUACGGCCCGGUUUGCAUCCGGCCUGCUCGCAGCCGAUAUCUGAUUGGGCCAAAUAAAGACCGAGACAAUUUUUUGGCCUGUUAAAAGCCCGUGAUUUGAUUCACACAAUCAUGGGACGGGGUUCAUUUCGGGCUGCUGUCGGCCCAUGAGCUGAUCGGCACGUUUCAGGCCCAACCUACAUUGUGAUUGCAUGACGGCCCGAUUAUGUACCGUAAUUUUACGGUUUGGCCGAUUUACUACGAAGACAGGAUAUAUAUACAGCAAAAUAACUGCAGCAUUGUGAAUAAGAAAAAACCUAUACUAUACAAUAAAGAAAUUAUGGCAUAUUACAUCCACUGGGCAUCAAAGUUCACCACUAUGAUAAUAAAGCACAAGCAGACAACAGAUUACAUACACUGGGCAUCAAAGAUCGCCACCAGUGCAAAUAAACACGCCGACAAAAUAAUAUACAAAACCGACAUGACUUAAAUAGAGUUCAAGAAAGGUUAGCCCUGCUGGGGAGCUGCAGCGCAAGCAGCUGAGCAAGAUGAUGAGACUGCGCUUGUUCAACACUUAUAUCUUCCUCACUCUGAAAGAUAAACAAGCAGACAGAUGACAGGUUUUGCACAUAAAAGUAUUAGUGCUGACAAUUCAUCACAUUUCUUACUGACGAAUAAAGUGACACAGUUUAAAUUUGCAUUAACACAAUAUGGUAUUGUUCAGGUCAAGACAUGGUAGGAAAUGACAUUGUGAAGGAGUUGGCAGCUUCACGACACCACUGGAUUACAAAUCAAGAACUCAUAAGUAUCAAUGGUUAGUGUGCUGUCAAUUUAUACCAUUUU
rnacentral:lncRNA from 1 species